GGAGCCAGCUUGCCUUGGUUUGAAUUAAAGUGAGCCAGCUUAGCUUAUCCAAUCAGCACACAUCACUCAGAUUACAACAAGACCAACUCAUCCUCACCAUCCAUUCCUCUUAAGUUAUUUCUAUCCAUUAGAUAUAGGUUUAUGAGUUUGCAAGAGUGUAAAACCUAUAUAAAGAGCCUCAUGGGCGUGUGUAACUCUCUUAAGAGAGUAUGGGGGUUUUCCCCAUCUCCUUCAUAAAUAUAAAUGUGUGUUCUUGAUCAGAUUCCCUUAAUCUACCCCUUUCUUAGUCUCUAAUCUCUUAAUCUCUCUAAGUCUCUUUGUUUCUGAUUCAAGUUCAUACUAGUUUCAUCAGACCUCUUAUUCAACUAGUUCAAGACCUUAUUCUUUGCCUCUAAUGGCUUCUCAUACACAUACACAGCCAGAGCUCUCAAAUCUCAUAUGGUAUCAGAGCCAGGUUCAUCAGAACCUGAGCUGAGCUUCCGCAAAUCCACAGCUCUCAUCUCAGCUCAAAUCAAACCCUUGAAGACAUUACCAGCCGAGUUCAGCUCUUGAAGAAGAAGAGACUUGAAGCCAUGGAGUGUUAUCCUGUCCCUCAAGCCAUUGCUGUCUGUACCUGAUGGAGAGAGUCUCAUUGGAAGCAAAGGAGGAUGGAGAGGCGUCAUGAACCUCAAGCCAAAACUCCUUGUCCAAGAGCUUGUUACAUCCUGCUACAAGAAAGAUGAAGUGAAGAGAAGCCGGUUUGAAGUAUGAAGAAAGGAGGGGUCUUUGGGUGUGAGAAACAAGAAGGAGGCCAUGGACUGAAGGAGAAGGAGUUGGGUGACGACCUAGACUCUUGAAUCCAACCAUAUCAUGGCCAGAUUGCCUUUGGAGGCUUAAGGAACCAACCUGGUUCCUUGUGUAAGCGAUUCUUUAAAACCUUCUUGAUAAUGAGCUUGUGUUGUGACUGUGCCUGGUUAUUGUGAUGUGUAUUGAUUGAAAAAAAAACCUGAGGAUAAUGUGUGAUUGCUAAAUAUAAUUAGUUGAAUCUGUCCCAGGAUGCUUUAAAGGCUUGUUUAGUGUUUAGUAAAAUGCUUGCUCCUGUUAAGUAAUGAGUUUGCUAAAUGUGAAAUGAUAUUGUUUGAAGCUCAUGAACUGAAAACAGAUUGAAAGUAAUGCAUUGUCUGAUGAUAAGUGAUGAUAGUAAUGCUUAGCCUAAGUUAUAAAUGAAUGUGUGAUGGAUUGUAUUGUUGCAUUCAUGAAUUAAAACUGAUUAAGGCUAGUGCAUACUGUCAAAUGGCUGUCUUACAUUGAAGCAUUAGAUUCAUGUCUAAAGGCUGAGUAAAGAAGCUUUAAAAUUGCCUAAGUAGCUUGUAUUGAAUCUGUUAGGAUCAUGCUAGUGCUUAGAGAGCUUGCUUGCAAAGAUUAGAACUUGAAAAUGUCUAGUUUAAUCUGUUGCAUUGCUUAAAGACAUUGGUGUUCAAACUUGAUGAUGCAUCAAGGGUUGACCCAAUGCACUUGUGUCUUAUCUUUGCUGGAGUUUGAGUGAUGUUUCAGGUUCACAAGAGGUGUUCUUGGUUCACCAUCCAUCCGAGUUGAAAGAGGAAGACUUUGCCCAUUGUGUGGAGCAAUGGAGAGUUGAGAAAGAAGUGGUGAUGCGCCACUGGUGAGAAGUUUCACUGAAGCUCACUUGCAAGCUUGGACUUAUAAUCAAUCCAAGCUUGAGGAGGGGAGUUUAGUGAGCUUCCAAGCGAUCCAAGAAGUCCAUUGCAAGCAUCUGAAGAAGGAGCCAUCCGGGCUUAGGCUGUGGCGAGUCUAUUCAAGAGAGUACUCAAACUAAGAUAGAGUACUCUUGGCUGUGAGAAGAUGAAGGCUACUCUAUCAAGGUGGCUUCAAGAGUUGAGGUGAUUGGAGAGAUAGCUGAAGCUUCCACAAGCAUUCCAUGAAGAUGGCAAGAUCAGAAGAGAAGCGGCAAGGGUGUGUGUGUGAGGAUCAUGAAGCAAUCCAUUCAAACUUGUUCCUGUGAGAGUCUCAAGCUUGAGGGGGAGUGUUGAAGCUUACAUGAUCCAAGAGAGCUUGGUGGUUACUCUAGAAGAAGAGGAAGCAGCCAAGACUCAGUAAGAGAAGUUGUAUCUCCAAGAAGAGGCUGAUCUGAUGUGUCUGAGCACUUCAACCUAACAAGAGGUUAGGUGAAAGGGGGAGAGAUCAAGAUCAGGCAGUAAGGAGAGUACAAGGCGUGGGGUGAAUGAAGAGGCC
rnacentral:lncRNA from 1 species